UGAGAAAAUAGAGACUUAGGCAAAGCUUACAGGGCAAACACUUGAGAGAUCUGAACCAGAAGCUGUCUAAGGCCUAUGGCCAGUUUACAGUUUUCAGUGGCCCCAUCCAAACCUGAACCGUCCAGUGCCUCUCUAGGCAGGGGCGUUGGGCAGACAGACAACAUGGCUAUGCCUGGGGCAGAGCUGAGGGUGCACGGUGGUGGGUGUUGCUGAGAGGCCCUGGAUUUCUGAAUAUGCCCAGAGGCAUAAACCAGAGGGUUUGAGAUGGGCCAGGAGGGCACCCUCUUCUCACUCCCCACUCCAUCCCCAACUGUCAGUGUGCACCAAAUUCCAUCAUUCACAAUCCAGUUCCUUUAUAUUUUUCACAUUCAGGGGAAGGGAGACAAUUUCAGCUUAAAAGUGAUAGAGGAAAUAAAAACGGAAAAGUCAACUGGAUUUGGCCACUCUGUAAAAUGACCAGAAAAAUGACCUCACCGAAAGGCAAGCAGCAGCCUUGGAGAAUUUUUUGUAGCAAACAAGCCCAGCCAUGGGGUCCGUCUGUUAUCUUUGCUCUAUAAUGAGCUAGGGCAGCCCAUGAAGAAAGACAGAGAAACCUGAGGGUAAGUGGGCAAAGGACAGGAGCUGACAAUUCACAUUCAAAAGGAAAUACAAAUGCUACAUCACUGCAUGGAAAAAAAUUCAUUCCCACUCAAGACAUAAAAGGCAUGAAAACUUUAAUAACUGCAAUUCUAUUCAAAUUAACAAAUAUUUUAAAGCAUGAAGUUAUUCAAUCUGUUGCUGAAAACUAUAACCGUCUUUAACAGAGCUUUUUUUUUUUUUUUUUGCCUCUUGGAGUGGCAUGCAGGAUCUUUGUUCCCCAACCAGGGAUCAAACCCAUGCCUCCUGCAUUGGGAGCUUGUAGUCUUGACCACUGGACCACCACGGAAGUCCCUGAUAUGCUUUUAAAAGCUCUCCAAAUGUUGCUUGUGCUCAUCCUCACAAUGGCUCCAAUUCACAGAUGAGGAAACUGAGCUGAGAGAGAUCAGGUACACGAUCUUCCCAAUUACGCAGAUGGUGUGUAGUUGAGUAGCAUCACCUGUCAGAUUACACAGCAGGGACACUGAACCACUAGGGCAAUGUUUCCCAAAGUGUGGUCUCAGACCCCCAUCAUCACCUGGGAACUUGCUAGAAAUGCACAACUGAAGCGACUUAGCAGCAGCAGCAGCAGAACUACUGAAUCAGAAACCCUGGGGGUGGGGCCCAGCAGUUUGUUUUAACAAGCCCUCCUUAACAAGCCCUCCAGGGGAUUCUGCUGCAAAGAUUGGAGAAUGAUUGCCCAGGGCUCCGGGUGAGUGUUCAGGAGUGGACCUUGCUUCUGCUGUAGAAGGCAAGUCAUAUUGUUCCAAACUCUUUUGAAAUAUGGAGGGACAGUGAGUAUUCUGAGCCUGAAAAAUGGCCAGUAAUUGCACUUCUGAGAAGCUAUAUGAACAAGAUUUUAUUCAUGAAGCUAUUAAGACAGUGGAUUUAUAAAUGUGUAAAACUGGAAACAAUCUAAGUCUCCAACAAUAGGGGAUUAGGGAUAAAAACCAUGACUCAUCUACUAGAUGGACUGUUGUGCAGUCAUUGAGAAAUGAGUUUGUAAAGAAUAUGUAACAUGGUACAGGGAGGGUGAACAGCUUGUCCUGGUUUGCCCUGGACUUUUCAGUUAUGGUUCUGAGAGUCCUGCGUUCCAGGAAAGCCCUUGGUCCUGACAAAUGAGGACAAUUGGUCAUCCUAAUUAUAAUGGGCAUUAGUGCUGCUAUUCAAGUAUUUCUGUUCUCCUUUCUUGGUAGGCUGGUGGUAGAGGGUAACUCACCGGCUCCUUGAAGUUAGGUGGCUAUGUGAUUUGCUUUGGCCAGUGAAAUGUAGGCAGAAGUGAUAUAAUGUCCAGACAGUACUCUGGAUGGACUGCGUUAGGAUGGCACUGCCCCAGUCUGGGUCCCUGAGUGACUGUGAUAAACAGAGGCCCCUGUCCAACCCCCACUAAGCAUACAGUGUGAGCAAGGCAUAAAGUCUUAUGUGUGAAGGUGCUGAGAUUUAGGGGUUAUUUGUUAUUACAGCAUAACCUACCCUGAGCUGACUGAUACAACUGGGGAAAUAUUGCUUCUGUCGUGUUAAGGACUUUUACAAACUUGUCUAUGCAGUAGAAGCAUUGCAGAGAUGUGACACAUAAAGUGUAUAAGUGUGUUGGAAAUAAUCUGAAAUGUUUAUGAUAUCAGGUUGAAGAAUUCUUGAUCUAAGCUUUUUUCUUCUUGAUCAUUGCAUUUCCCAAUUUUCUCCAAUGAGCAUGCUUUAUUCCUUUUUCAUAGGAGACAUUUUAUUCAAAAUAUAAUUUCCUUGGGUCAAAGCUGGGUCUUUUCUGGGCUCUUGUUUAUUAAAUGAAGAUCUUUUGGAGGAGGCAGGAAGAGAAGAAUGUUAAGUGUUAGUUUCAAAGAAUCAAGGGGACUGUAAAGGUCACAGAGUUAAUCCUCUACUUCUGCUGGAAGCUCCCUGCAGGUUCCUGGGUCCUCCCAGCCUCAACAGCUCAACAAAAACAAGCCGAUCAGAUGCUGCUUCCUGGCCAUGUUACUCUGGGCAAGUCACAGACUCACUGAGCUUCCACAUUCUGAUCUGUUAAAUGGAAAUAAUCCUGUCUACCCUGUGAGCUACCAGAUCAGAUGACAUGAAGGAUGCUCAAUAAAUACUGAGCACCAGCCCGGAACCCGGCACCGGAAGAGCGAGUUCUCUGGAAAUGAGGCCCUGUGGAAUCUGGCUUGUCUCCUGGAGGGAAGUUGGUAGAUUUUAGGCAGAGGAGGCUGUGUUCACAGCUGUCUGGAAGAAGCCAAAUUGGGUAGGAAUGACACUGCCAGACAGGGAGAUGGAGGAAGGGCCCUGACUUGGUGGGGAUCUGUCCUUCCUGGUGAAUGUGGGACCAGAGAGGGUCAGUCACUUGUCUAAGAUCAUGCAGCAAUUUGGGACCAGGCCAGGACUUCGACCCAGAUAUGUCUCACUCUGAAGCUUCAUUCUUCAGCCAUUCUGGAGAAGUCUGGCUGGUAAGGGGGGCAUACAGGGGAUGCUGGCUGGAGGGGCGAGGUCUCUGCUGCCCCCUGAGGACAAUGCUCUCAGGGCACUCUGGGUGAUCCUUCCAUUGCAAAGGACAGGCUCCAGGCUGGCAGAGCCCGGGUGGGAGGAGGCCUGACUUUGAUUCCUUGAUGCUCACACUUUGUGGACCCCUGGGGAAUGCCUGAGUCAUCGCUGAGCUGGCAAACAUAUUUAGCUCUUUUCAUAGUCUCUAAUAAAUCAAUUUCUCCAGGUCUCUCACA